UACGGAAGGCAGCAGUGGGGAAUAUUGCACAAUGGGCGCAAGCCUGAUGCAGCCAUGCCGCGUGUAUGAAGAAGGCCUUCGGGUUGUAAAGUACUUUCAGUCGUGAGGAAGGUGUUAAGGUUAAUAACCUUAGCAAUUGACGUUAGCGACAGAAGAAGCACCGGCUAACUCCGUGCCAGCAGCCGCGGUAAUACGGAGGGUGCGAGCGUUAAUCGGAAUUACUGGGCGUAAAGGGCACGCAGGCGGUUAAUUAAGUUGGAUGUGAAAUCCCCGGGCUUAAACCUGGGAAUGGCAUUCAAGACUGGUUAGCUAGAGUCUUGUAGAGGGGGUAGAAUUCCAUGUGUAGCGGUGAAAUGCGUAGAGAUGUGGAGGAAUACCGGUGGCGAAGGCGGCCCCUGGACAAAGACUGACGCUCAUGUGCGAAAAGCGUGGGGAGCGAAAACAGGGAUUAGAUACC
rnacentral:rRNA from 1 species